CUAAAGGUAUGCAGGUCUCUCAGUCUCUGCAAUGGGCUGCUUCUGUGCUCUGCACGCCCCCUUCAGGAGGCCGGGGGGAACGGCAGCAGCUUCUCUCUGACGUCUCCCGAAUUUCUAGGAAUGCCCCUUCCCUGUUACUAUAUUUGGAGGUAGUUUCUAGGAAAAUAAUUUUCAGAGGAUCUGGACUUCAGUAGAGCUCCUUAUUCAGAACCAGUGAAAGGAUAUUUUUCUGUGUGUGCAGCAAAACUCUCAGCCUUUUUUUUUUAAAUAUGCUUUUUGGAUCAACAGCAUGAUUUGCAACAUUGUUGAAUGCAUUUAAAGGGCACUAAUGGGGAAAUGAAUAUGUGACUUGAAAAGCUCUAUCUACUUUUUGGAUGGCCUCUGCAGUCACCACUGGAUUCCUUUUUUUUUUUUUUCACCCCUGAUCUGGCCUCUGUGGCGUGACCAUGAUGAUGAAGAAGAAAUGUUACAGAAGCCUGGCAAUGUGAUCUUUAUGUAAUGAGUCAGGAUUCGCUAAAGGAAGGAGCAGGAGCUUUGGAGGAUCGACCUUCCCCAGCCAUAGGAAUUACAAGGCAGGGGAGAUGUGCAGCUCGUGCUCUCCCUUGGAUCUCUCUACACACUCUCAAGAAGAGAGGCAGUCUUCUGACUAUGACGAGCCUACACCCCAGCCUUCACUAGUGGUGGAGAACUUACUGUUUACAAAUUAAGGGCAGUGGUUAAAUGAACCGUCGAUUAGGUGGAGUUAAAACUCAGAAGUCUAAACAAAAGGAGUCUUCUACCUGAGUAGACUGCCCUGAAGAGAAGUAGAUGUGCCAUCUGACAGAUUGGUUGCUGGUUUGUGACUGAGAAAACGGACAACUUGCAGUCUUUGGAUGAGAGCUGCAUCGUUUCAUCUGAGCAGGGGAAUCGGAAACAAUUUUGAGCAGAAUGUAAGAGCUUCUUCUACACCAAGAUGUCUGAAAAUCACACAUACACUUGGGUAACAGUAUUCUGUUUAAAAAGGCCAAUCAUUCUGGAAUUUUCUUGUCUAAGAGUCAGGGAUCUUGUCAAUAGCAGCAGAAUGUGGUGAACCAACAUUUGGUACAAUGUGUACUUUACUUCUGCAUACCUGUGGCACUAUAUCUUUAGCUGACCUCUUGCCACCAAUAUGUGGGUAUGUUGUCAAUGCAUCCUGACAGCUGGAACUCUCCCAAGUCCCAGCAACACGUAGCAAUUAACAUCUGUGUUCUGCUGAAGAGUUUUUUUCUUUUGCAGACUUUGCCAGACCCUAAUUCUGUUUUUUAGAAUUUGUUAUGGAAUUUAUAAUGUAUGGUUUAUUUUCCCACAACAUUUUUGUGCUUAAAAGUUUUGGUGAGCUUAAUUUAAAGGGAUGUCAUCUUAAAAAAAAAAAAAUAAUACAUUUUCUGUUUUAUGGUUUGUUUAUUUUAAUAUGCACAUCAAUAUAUAUUAUGAUUUGUAUGUAAGAAGUACAGCAAUCCUUUUUUAUACAUUUGAAAAUUCAUGUUGUUCUUAACCACAGACUACAAAAGACAACUAACUACCGGAGAGAGUAAGAGGGUCAACGAGGCAUCGUUGGUUCUUUGGAACAUCUGUGGGAGAUGGAGGGUUGAAGAAUCAAUGUGAGCCAGUGCUGAAGACCCUGUUUAUUUUGGUAAAGUACAAAGUGAUCUCACUGCUGAGCUCUUGGGUGCAUUUAGCUCAAACACCAUUUAACCACUUGCCGCCCGCCCACUGUCAAAUGACGGCUGGGCGGUGUAACUCAUGUUCUGGGUGGAUGUCAUAUGAUAUACACCAAAAAACCGCGCUAUCACAACACCGUAAAUUCAGGCAGCAGCUAGCGUGUGAUGACAAGAAAAUAAAACAAUAUAAAAAGCCGCGCCAGAUAUCAAAAACAAAUGAAUAUAGUAGUUAAACAGUCCACAGAUGGUAUAAGUAGUAGUGGAUUUUAGAUUGGUUCUCCAGCAAAGACAGAAUCACUGUAUUGAUCAGAGGCUGAUUUGCAUGUAGAGAUGUUAGCUUUUCAAUGCACCAGGUGACAUG